UGGGGAAUAUUGCACAAUGGGCGCAAGCCUGAUGCAGCCAUGCCGCGUGUGUGAAGAAGGCCUUCGGGUUGUAAAGCACUUUUGGCAGGAAAGAAACGUCGCGGGUUAAUACCCCGCGAAACUGACGGUACCUGCAGAAUAAGCACCGGCUAACUACGUGCCAGCAGCCGCGGUAAUACGUAGGGUGCAAGCGUUAAUCGGAAUUACUGGGCGUAAAGCGUGCGCAGGCGGUUCGGAAAGAAAGAUGUGAAAUCCCAGAGCUUAACUUUGGAACUGCAUUUUAACUACCGGGCUAGAGUGUGUCAGAGGGAGGUGGAAUUCCGCGUGUAGCAGUGAAAUGCGUAGAUAUGCGGAGGAACACCGAUGGCGAAGGCAGCCUCCUGGGAUAACACUGACGCUCAUGCACGAAAGCGUGGGGAGCAAACAGGAUUAGAUACCCUGGUAGUCCACGCCCUAAAACGAUGUCAACUAGCUGUUGGGGCCUUCGGGCCUUGGUAGCGCAGCUAACGCGUGAAGUUGACCGCCUGGGGAGUACGGUCGCAAGAUUAAAACUUAAAUGAAUUGACGGGGUCAUAGCUGUUUCCUG
rnacentral:rRNA from 1 species